rnacentral:rRNA from 1 species
AAUGAACGCUGGCGGCAUGCCUAACACAUGCAAGUCGAACGAAGGCUUCGGCCUUAGUGGCGCACGGGUGCGUAACGCGUGGGAAUCUGCCCUCAGGUUCGGAAUAACAGCGAGAAAUUGCUGCUAAUACCGGAUGAUAUCGCGAGAUCAAAGAUUUAUCGCCUGAGGAUGAGCCCGCGUAGGAUUAGCUAGUUGGUGUGGUAAAGGCGAACCAAGGCGACGAUCCUUGGCGGGUCUGAGAGGAUGAUCAGCCACACUGGGACUGAGACACGGCCCAGACUCCUACGGGAGGCAGCAGUGGGGAAUAUUGGACAAUGGGCGAAAGCCUGAUCUAGCAAUGCCGCGUGAGUGAUGAAGGCCUUAGGGUUGUAAAGCUCUUUUACCCGGGAUGAUAAUGACAGUACCGGGAGAAUAAGCUCCGACUAACUCCGUGCCAGCCGCCGCCGUAA